UCAAUGGGGAAAGAUGACCUUGUUGAGCUUGACUCUAGUCCGACUUUGUGAAAUGACUUGAGAGGUGUAGUAUAAGAGGGAGCUUCAUGGCGAAAUUGAAUACUACUACUUUUAACGUUAUUUUAUUUAUUCCGUGAAUAGGAGGCAAGGCAUCGCCCCUCUCUUUGGAACAAAGGUUUGCUUACAAGAUGAUCUAGGUGGAAGACAUUGUCAGUUAGGGUGUUUGGCUGAGGUGGCCUAUUUAUUAAAAGAUAAUGCAAUUGUUCUAAGAUGAGCUUAACGAGAACAUAAAUCUCAUGUGGAACAAAAGGGUAAAAGCUUGUUUGAUUUUGAUUUCCUAUAUGAAUACAAACAGUGGAAGUGUGGUUUAUCGAUCCUUUAGACCUUUGGAAUUUGAAGCUAGAGGUGUCAAAAAAGUUACCACAAGGAUAACUAGCUUGGGAAAGCCAAACGCUCUUAGUGAUGUUGAUUUUUAAUCCUUCGAUGUUGUAUCUUACUAUCAUUGUGAAGCAAAAUUCACCAAAUGUUGGAUGUUCACCCGCCAAUAGGGAACAUGAGACCAUCGUGAGACAAGUUUGUUUUACCUUACUGA
rnacentral:rRNA from 1 species